CGCUAUCACUCCUACGGGAGGCAGCAGUGAGGAAUAUUGGACAAUGGGCGGGAGCCUGAUCCAGCCAUGCCGCGUGCAGGAAGACUGCCCUAUGGGUUGUAAACUGCUUUUUUACGGGAAGAAACAGCCCCCACGUGUGGGGGCUUGACGGUACCGUACGAAUAAGGACCGGCUAACUCCGUGCCAGCAGCCGCGGUAAUACGGAGGGUCCGAGCGUUAUCCGGAAUCAUUGGGUUUAAAGGGUCCGUAGGCGGGCGUCUAAGUCAGUGGUGAAAUCCCGCAGCUCAACUGUGGAAUUGCCAUUGAUACUGGUCGCCUUGAAUUAGUGUGAAGUGGCUAGAAUAUGUAGUGUAGCGGUGAAAUGCUUAGAUAUUACAUAGAAUACCGAUUGCGAAGGCAGGUCACUAACACUAUAUUGACGCUGAUGGACGAAAGCGUGGGGAGCGAACAGGAUUAGAUACCCUGGUAG
rnacentral:rRNA from 1 species